rnacentral:rRNA from 1 species
UACAGAGGUCUCAAGCGUUGUUCGGAUUCAUUGGGCGUAAAGGGUGCGUAGGCGGCGCGGUAAGUCGGGUGUGAAAUCUCGGGGCUUAACUCCGAAACUGCAUUCGAUACUGCCGUGCUUGAGGACUGGAGAGGAGACUGGAAUUUACGGUGUAGCGGUGAAAUGCGUAGAUAUCGUAAGGAAGACCAGUGGCGAAGGCGGGUCUCUGGACAGUUCCUGACGCUGAGGCACGAAGGCCCAGGGGGAGCAAAACGGGGAUUAGAAAACCCC